rnacentral:rRNA from 1 species
UACGAAGGGGGCUAGCGUUGUUCGGAAUUACUGGGCGUAAAGCGCGCGCAGGCGGUCUUCCAAGUCAGUGGUGAAAGCCCGGAGCUCAACUCCGGAACUGCCAUUGAAACUGUUGGACUUGAGUACGAGAGAGGUGAGUGGAAUUCCCAGUGUAGAGGUGAAAUUCGUAGAUAUUCGGAAGAACACCAGUGGCGAAGGCGGCUCACUGGACGACUGUUGACGCUGAGGUGCGAAAGCGUGGGGAGCAAACAGG